rnacentral:lncRNA from 1 species
CCAGAACUAGGAUUCUAGGGCCCACAAUCCCCAGCCAUCCCUCCUCAAUUUCCCCGAGCUUCCAUUUCCUAAAUUUCCGGUCAAUCAAUUCAGCAACAAGUAUCCAUGAAGGGCCCAGCCCGGAGGAUACAAGUAUAAGGAACUGAACUCCCUACUAGCAGUCUCUCCCCAGGGGCAUGAUGGCUGAGCAUGGGGGGGGGGGUCCCUCUCUCCACUCUUCAAGGCUCCCCCUAGUUCCACAGGCAGCCGAAGGGAUCCGAGGGAGAAGAUGGUGCUGAAAUGGGAGGAAUAUCUGAGGAUUUAAAAGAGGAGAGGAGCCUGAAGCUGAUUUUACAGAUGGGUAAACUGAGGCCCAAAGAGGCGCCCCAGGGGGCCAAUGUCAGAAAAUCCUAAGUAGAAGAAAGAGUCUCUCUGGUGGAAUCCCAAGCUCCUUCUCCGGCAGCAUCUGCACUUAAUUUCAGGCCGGGACUUGGUGCUGUAUUCCUCAACCCCACCCCAUUGGGGCAGAGGAGAACGGGAAGGAAGCUUCCCCCUCCUGCCCGAGGGGAAGUGAGGGCCACACCCAGUCCCAGCCUCAGGGAUCUCCCUCAUGGACAUUUGAGGCUCCCUCCCUGUACGAACCCCUCGAAUUUGUCCUGUGCGGGCCUUCGUUUCCAAGAAAUUCCUAAUGUGCCUCCCAAUAAUCCACUCUGAAAUCGUAGCAAGAAGCCCUUCUCACAGAAGAGGAAACUGAGUCCUGCAAAAGUUCCGCAGCGCUUGAGAAGUCCGACGGUGAGUCAGAGGCCAAGGGUCACCAAAGCACACAGAUUUGGAGCCAUUUGGGCACCUGAGAGGCCGGCCAGGCCAGCCCCAUUUUAUAGAUCAGGAAACUGAGUCCCAGAGGUUUUCUUGACCCCACAAGGUUUCCCCCUUUUUCACGACAGAAGCGGAAAUCCAGUCCUGUGUCCAAUGCCCACCAGCCCUGGCCCCACCUGGGCCCAGCACCCUUCCAUUCAGUUCUGCAGAGCUCAAUCCCUACUACUAAGUGACAGGUCAAGGAGUGUGUCCAGGUCUCCAACCCUCCCACACACCCCUUGCAGGCACCGGGCAUAGAAGGCCAGAUAGAAGCCUCGAGGGGCCCCCACUGGGGGGGGGCAGAAAUCUCACACCCCUGAGAGGGGGAGCAGAAAUCUCCCACCUCUGGGUGGGGCAGAAAUCUUCCACCACUGGGGGGGAGGGAGAAAUCUCCCACCCCUUUCCUGGCUCCAAGACUGCCUCAGUGUCUCGAGGAUUUC